UUACCUAUCAUAUCGUAUAAAAUUGAACGAAUAAGAAAGAUAAAAAUUCAUAAUUGCGCGCGGAAGUUAAAUACGCUUCUGCAACCUAACCCCAACCUAACUCCAAUAUGGCAACGUUGUUCGUUUAAAGAGCGAAUGUCGAUGACAAGUUUCCGAUACAUUCUAUAACUGUCUGUACAAGAAUUAGAGAAUUUUCAAUAGUACAUGUAAAUGUUAUUAUUACGUUAAAAGUUGUUCAAUGGAGCAAUACAUUAAGCAUCAAAUGAAAGGACAAUAGAUUACUCGGAUGUCUCAAUAAUAUUUUAUUGCAUUCGGAACGUCCAAUGGGAGUGAGCUGUUAAAGGAACAUUCUUCUUGACAUUAUACCGAUAUGCUAAUAUUCUCAAACGAAUGAAGUGGGGAAUAGAGAAGAAAAUAAAUUAUAUUUAAGAAUAAAUUACUCGGAUGUCUCAAUAAUAUUUAAUUGCAUUCGGAACGUCCAAUGGGAGUGAGCUGUUAAAGGAACAUUCUUCUUAACAUUAUACCGAUAUGCUAAUAUUCUCAAACAAAUGAAGUGGGGAAUAGAGAAGAAAAU